GCACUGGUUUAGCUCAGUGGUUACUUCGAACACAUUUUCUCCUGUAGAAAUAGCUGCUCUCCAUCCCUCACCGGGAUCGAACCACGGGCGCUGUCCAGUGUUUUU
rnacentral:vault_RNA from 1 species